UGGGGAAUUUUGGACAAUGGGCGAAAGCCUGAUCCAGCAAUGCCGCGUGUGUGAAGAAGGCCUUCGGGUUGUAAAGCACUUUUGUCCGGAAAGAAAUCCUUGGCUCUAAUACAGUCGGGGGAUGACGGUACCGGAAGAAUAAGCACCGGCUAACUACGUGCCAGCAGCCGCGGUAAUACGUAGGGUGCAAGCGUUAAUCGGAAUUACUGGGCGUAAAGCGUGCGCAGGCGGUUUGCUAAGACCGAUGUGAAAUCCCCGGGCUCAACCUGGGAACUGCAUUGGUGACUGGCAGGCUAGAGUAUGGCAGAGGGGGGUAGAAUUCCACGUGUAGCAGUGAAAUGCGUAGAGAUGUGGAGGAAUACGAUGGCGAAGGCAGCCCCCUGGGCCAAUACUGACGCUCAUGCACGAAAGCGUGGGGAGCAAACAGGAUUAGAUACCCUGGUAGUCCACGCCCUAAAACGAUGUCAACUAGGUUGUUGGGGGAUUCAUUUCCUUAGUAACGUAGCUAACGCGUGAAGUUGACCGCCUGGGGAGUACGGUCGCAAGAUUAAAACUCAAAUGAAUUGACGGGGUCAUAGCUGUUUCCU
rnacentral:rRNA from 1 species